rnacentral:rRNA from 1 species
GACGAACGCUGGCGGCGCGCCUAACACAUGCCAGUCGAACGAGCGAGAGGAGGUUUACUUUCUCAAGCGAGUGGCGAACGGGUGAGUAACGCGUGAGGAACCUGCCUCAAAGAGGGGGACAACAGUUGGAAACGACUGCUAAUACCGCAUAAGCCCACGACCCGGCAUCGGGUAGAGGGAAAAGGAGCAAUCCGCUUUGAGAUGGCCUCGCGUCCGAUUAGCUAGUUGGUGAGGUAAUGGCCCACCAAGGCGACGAUCGGUAGCCGGGCUGAGAGGUUGAACGGCCACAUUGGGACUGAGACACGGCCCAGACUCCUACGGGAGGCAGCAGUGGGGAAUAUUGCACAAUGGGGGAAACCCUGAUGCAGCGACGCCGCGUGGAGGAAGAAGGUCUUCGGAUUGUAAACUCCUGUUGUGGAGGAAGAUAAUGACGGUACUCAACAAGGAAGUGACGGCUAACUACGUG